rnacentral:tRNA from 1 species
AGUGUGGUGGCCGAGCGGUUAAGGCGUUGGACUUAAGUUCCAAUGGACAUUAGUCCUCGUGGGUUCAAAUUCCACCCGCACUA